CCGACGAGUUCCGCCGGCAAGGCUGAAAGGGUGAGGUAAGAGCUCACCAGCGUGCCGGGUGACCGGUGCGGCUAGGUAAACCCCGUCCGGAGCAAGGUCAAGCAGGAGGUUGGGCGGCCCGCCCGUAUGCCUCCGGGUAGACCGCUAGAGGCGUGCGGCAACGUACGUCGUAGAUGGAUGGUCACCGGGACGUCGUUCUUGAACGGCGUCUCACAGGACCCGGCUUAUAGGCCGACUCGAAAA
rnacentral:RNase_P_RNA from 1 species